rnacentral:rRNA from 1 species
AAAUUUGAAAGCUGGCUCCUUCGGGGUCCGCAUUGUAAUUUGCAGAGGAUGCUUCGGGAGUGGCCCCCAUCUAAGUGCCCUGGAACGGGCCGUCAUAGAGGGUGAGAAUCCCGUCUGGGAUGGGGUGUCCACGCCCGUGUGAAGCUCCUUCGACGAGUCGAGUUGUUUGGGAAUGCAGCUCUAAAUGGGUGGUAAAUUUCAUUUAAAGCUAAAUACUGGCCGGAGACCGAUAGCGCACAAGUAGAGUGAUCGAAAGAUGAAAAGCACUUUGAAAAGAGAGUUAAACAGCACGUGAAAUUGUUGAAAGGGAAGCGCUUGCGACCAGACUCGCCCCCGGGGUUCAGCCGGCAUUCGUGCCGGUGUACUUCCCCGCGGGCGGGCCAGCGUCGGUUUGGGCGGCCGGUCAAA